ensembl:lncRNA
GCAUAGAAUGUUCUUCUGAGAUCUGUUAGAGUUUGAAAUGUGGAACAAUUUUUGAAUUGCUUAAAUUCACCUUGGAAAGCAAAAGGAGACCACAUCAUCAGGAAGGAGCUGCCAUAGCAUGAAAGUGAAUUGGAUUUAAGUGAGGGAGGGCUAUGCAAGGUCACUUACCUCACUUUCCCCAUCUGAAUCCAGGGGCAAGAUAUAGAGGAGGAUUACUGAAAAUGGCUCUUCUCAACUGUGGAGGAAAUGACAAUGAUUAUAUUUUACUAUUUACUUAAACAGAGAAAAAGCUAUGUAUGCAAUAUUGUGCUACUAUCUCCAGGACAACACAAAGCCUGAAAGAAACAUUAAAUUCCUUUGAAAUUGAAUUUUUGAAGAAAGGUGGUCAAACAAUCAUGGAUUAUGAACUGGGAUUUUUGAAUUCAUCUUGUCGAAAUCAAUUGUUUUACAAAUGUGGAAACUGAAACCUAAUGAGAUAAAAUUAUGUGUCCAAGUUCACACAGGAGGAUAGUAAAAUAAUCUAGACUCAAACCCAAAUCCCAUGGUUACAAAUCCAAAGUGUUUCCAUUGCCUUCCAGUGAUUGUGUCAAUCACUCUGACAAGUGAUAAUAAAAGGGAAGGAAAAAUAAAACAAUUCCUAAGGUUGAUGAUGAUGAUGUGUAUGUGUGUGUGUGUGUGUGUGUGUGUGUGUGU